GCUGGGGACAGCCUCACAUGAUGACCCUUCUCUCUCUGAUGGCUGUGGUGAUGAUCAUCAAACCAAAGCCUCUAAGAAGUUGACUGAAGAGGCUGUUCCUCC
rnacentral:snoRNA from 1 species